rnacentral:pre_miRNA from 1 species
AGGAGGAACAGCCCCAGUGGCGGGGCCAGCUCUGGAGCCCUGGAGUCAACCCCCGCAGGAACUCCGGAGCUCUCCGUCUGCAGGGCCUGGAGGCUCCGGGGCGGG